CGGACAAACAGUACAAAUCACAAACACUGAACUGGUAGCAGAGUGCCUCAUUGUUGGAACUGACACCAACUGCAACUGUUCUACAAAUUAUCUUUGGAGCAAUGAAGUGUGCUACAACUACAACUGCUGUGGGGAUGCUACUUGCACACAAAAUGUAUCCUACAUCACACCCCUCUGUUCUCCUAAAGUUCAAGUUUUCAUCAAUGGAUCAGUACAGACUGCAGCAUGGGAUCAAACCAAAAACACAACGCUUCAAAGCCAAUUUCAAAAACUGAAUGCUAUUCAGUAUGUGAACGUUACUGGUCCAAGAAUCAUCUCCAUAUCCACUCAAGUGCUAA